GCGGAGCGGAGCGCCGCGGGGCUCCGCGGGGCCGGGGGCGGCCGGCAGGACGCGGCCGGGAGCGGCUCGUGGCACCGCUGUGCGCGGCGGCGCGGGGCGGAACAGCGCGGCCGGAGCCGGGAGCCGGGAGCGGAGCUGAAGAGCCGCGGCCGCAGCGCAGGUUUCCCUUCGAUGUGCGCAGAUGUGCGCGGCCGCAGGGGCUGCAGGGCGAUGCCGAAGGCGGCGUUAGAAGCACAUCCUGACACUUCUGUUUCCCGUUUCCAUCCGAGCCCGUUUCUCCCCCGGUCCCACGCGCCGCGAAGCGGCACUCCGUGCUCCCAGCGGCCCGGAGCAGCACCGGAGCUCACGGCCGUCACCGCCUGCGGCCGCCGCUCAGCUCCGAAGGCACCGCAACACUCGGCACCCGCACGGCAGCGCGGACACCAUCGGCAUCCAGCUCUGCUACAUCCAGCUCUGCACAUCCAGCUCUGCUACAUCCAGCUCUGCACAUCCAGCUCUGCUACAUCCAACUCUGCACCUCCAACUCUGCUACAUCCAACUCUACACAUCCAACUCUACACCUCCAACUCUACACCUCCAACUCUGCUACAUCCAACUCUACACAUCCAGUUCUGCACCUCCAGCUCCACACCUCCAGCUCCGCGCCCUUCGUGCGUUUCCCACAGCAGAGCCGGCCGGGCAGAUGCGCCGCGAGCGGCCGGCAGGAGAUGCUGCCCGGCCAGCCGUGAGCCGCAGCCGGGCCGAAGGCAGCGGCACGUCGGCGUCCCGCGGCCCCCGGCUUUGCGCGCUCGCUGCCGGGCGCUCGCUCUGCUUCCGCCGCUCCGCUCCGCACCGCCCGUCCCCUCCCCGCCGCUCUCGGAGCGGCUCCGCGGCGCUGUGGCGUUUCUCUCCUUUUGUUUAUUCCCAGGAAGUCCCUCUUCCGCCGCCUGCGCAGCGCUCGGCCCCGAUUUAACCCGGGCAUUAACUUGGGACAGGGAAAGGAAACAGAACGGGGGGGGGUUGCAGGAAAAAAACAGAAAAAUGGUAAAAAAGCACAGGGACGGAGAGCUGUGCCCCAUACAGAGCUGUGCCCCCAUACAGAGCUGUGCCCCACACAGAGCUGUGCCCCCACAUAGAGCUGUGCCCCUACAUAGAGCUGUGCCCCACACAGAGCUGUGCCCCUACAUAGAGCUGUGCCCCACACAGAGCUGUGCCCCACACAGAGCUGUGCCCCACACAGAGCUGUGCCCCUACAUAGAGCUGUGCCCCACACAGAGCUGUGCCCCCACAUAGAGCUGUGCCCCAUACAGAGCUGUAUCCCAAUACAGAGCUGUACCCCAUAAAAAGCUGUGCCACAUACAGAGCUGUAUCCCAUAAAAAGCUGUGCCCCAUACAGAGCUGUGCCCCACAGAGCUGUGCCCUGUACUGAGCUGUACCCCUACACAGAGCUGUGCCCCCACACAGAGCUGCACCCCAUACAGAGCUGUGCCCCACACAGAGCUGUGUAUGUGCCCCAUACACAGCUAUACCCCUACACAGAGCUGUGCCCCACACAGAGCUGUACCCCACACAGAGCUGUACCCCCAUAUAGAGCUGUGCCCCCACAUAGAGCUGUGCCCCCAUACAGAGCUGUGCCCCAUACAGAGCUGUGCCCCCAUACAGAGCUGUGCCCCCAUACAGAGCUGUGCCCCAUACAGAGCUGUGCCCCCACACACUGCAGCCCAACGUUCAGCCGUGCCUUUGUGUGCCCACCUGCACACAGCCAGGCAGUGCGGCUGCUUGGCUCCAUGGGGCACACAGAGGGCAAGCAGGAUGCCAUGCGGGGCUGUAUGGGGCCAUGCAGGGCAGUGCAGGGCUGUAUGGGGCCAUGCAGGGCUGUAUGGGGCCGUGCAGGGCUGUAUGGGGCCGUGCAGGGCUGUAUGGGGCCAUGCAGGGCUGUACAGGGCCAUGCAGGGCUGUAUGGGGCGGUGCAGGGCUCUACAGGGCUGUAUGGAGCCAUGCAGGGCUCUACGGGGCCAUGCAGGGCUGUAUGGGCCAUGCAGGGUCAUGUAGGGCUGUAUCGUCCACGCAGGGCUGUAUGGGGCCUUGCAGGGCUUAUGGGGCCAUGCAGGGCUGCAUGGGGCUGUCCGGGCCGUGCAGGGCUGUAUGGUGCAUGCAGGGCUGCAUGGGGCUGUAUGGUGCAUGCAGGGCUGUAUGGUGCAUGCAGGGCUGCAUGGGGCUGUAUGGUGCAUGCAGGGCUGUAUGGUGCAUGCAGGGCUGCAUGGGGCUGUAUGGGGCCGUGCAGGGCUGUAUG
rnacentral:lncRNA from 1 species